rnacentral:sRNA from 1 species
UGCCCACAUCCGCAUUUACCUAAACCCCACCCAGGCUGCACAGCAAUGCAAAACCGGUAUUUUCUUUCUAUCAUGAAUCACGCUG